rnacentral:sRNA from 1 species
UAGGAACUUUGUCUCCCUUUCGUUAUCUUCUCUUUUUUUC